UCCGCGGAUGAGGGGGUGGUCGUAAAUCCCGGACGGGCCCCCAAAUGUGAGACCCCCGAAAUGGGACCCUCACUCUGUCCUGCAGACUGACGGCGACCCCAAUCAACCGCAGGAGACG
rnacentral:pre_miRNA from 10 species